rnacentral:rRNA from 1 species
UAGGGCUAGCCUCAAGUGAUGAUUAUUGGGGGUAGAGCACUGUUUGGACGAGGGGCCCCUCUCGGGUUACCGAAUUCAGACAAACUCCGAAUGCCAAUUAAUUUAACUUGGGAGUCAGAACAUGGGUGAUAAGGUCCGUGUUCGAAAGGGAAACAGCCCAGACCACCAGCUAAGGUCCCAAAAUAUAUGUUAAGUGGAAAAGGAUGUGGCGUUGCCCAGACAACUAGGAUGUUGGCUUAGAAGCAGCCAUCAUUUAAAGAGUGCGUAAUAGCUCACUAGUCGAGUGACACUGCGCCGAAAAUGUAACGGGGCUAAACAUAUUACCGAAGCUGUGGAUUGUCCUUUGGACAAUGGUAGGAGAGCGUUCUAAGGGCGUCGAAGCAUGAUCGCAAGGACAUGUGGAGCACUUAGAAGUGAGAAUGCCGGUGUGAGUAGCGAAAGACGGGUGAGAAUCCCGUCCACCGAUUGACUAAGGUUUCCAGAGGAAGGCUCGUCCGCUCUGGGAUAGUCGGGUCCGCAGCUGAGGCCGACAGGC